AACGCACGAGACCUGCGGACCUGCGGAGGGAUCAUUACCGAGGAUGGGGGUAUGUGGGGCGGCGAGGCCGGAGGGCGAGGCCGAAAGGCGAUGCCGAAAGGCGAUGCCGAAAGGCGAUGCCGAAAGGCGAUGCCGAAAGGCGAUGCCGGAGGGCGCAGCCAGCCACGUACACACUCGUGCUUGCUGGGGAGGCGUGGCUGGGAGUGGGGGAUUCUGGCGGCUCACGUGGCAGCACUGCCU
rnacentral:misc_RNA from 1 species